rnacentral:tRNA from 1 species
ACUUAAAUAGUUUAAAUAAAAUAUUGAUUUGUGGUAUCAAAGAUAUAAUUAUUAUUUUAAGUU